ACACACACACAUAAUGUAAAGAUAAAGGUUCCCCUCACAUACAUGUGCUACUAGUUUCUGGCUCUAGAGAGCGGUGCUCAUCUCCGUUACAAAGCCGAAGAGCCAGCGCUGUCUGAAGACGUCUCCAUGGUCAUGUGGCCGGCAAGACUAAAUGCCGAAGGUGCACGGAACGCUGUUACC